rnacentral:rRNA from 1 species
UGCUUUCUCCGCUGACGAGCGGCGGAACGGGUGAGUAAUGUCUGGGGAUCUGCCUGAUGGAGGGGGAUAACUACUGGAAACGGUAGCUAAUACCGCAUAACGUCGCAAGACCAAAGUGGGGGACCUUCGGGCCUCAUGCCAUCAGAUGAACCCAGAUGGGAUUAGCUAGUAGGUGAGGUAAUGGCUCACCUAGGCGACGAUCCCUAGCUGGUCUGAGAGGAUGACCAGCCACACUGGAACUGAGACACGGUCCAGACUCCUACGGGAGGCAGCAGUGGGGAAUAUUGCACAAUGGGCGCAAGCCUGAUGCAGCCAUGCCGCGUGUAUGAAGAAGGCCUUCGGGUUGUAAAGUACUUUCAGUAGGGAGGAAGGUGUGCGUGUUAAUAGCACGUGCAAUUGACGUUACCUACAGAAGAAGCACCGGCUAACUCCGUGCCAGCAGCCGCGGUAAUACGGAGGGUGCAAGCGUUAAUCGGAAUUACUGGGCGUAAAGCGCACGCAGGCGGUUUGUUAAGUUGGAUGUGAAAUCCCCGGGCUUAACCUGGGAACUGCAUCCAAGACUGGCAAGCUAGAGUCUCGUAGAGGGAGGUAGAAUUCCAGGUGUAGCGGUGAAAUGCGUAGAGAUCUGGAGGAAUACCGGUGGCGAAGGCGGCCUCCUGGACGAAGACUGACGCUCAGGUGCGAAAGCGUGGGGAGCAAACAGGAUUAGAUACCCUGGUAGUCCACGCUGUAAACGAUGUCGAUUUGGAGGUUGUGCCCUUGAGGCGUGGCUUCCGAAGCUAACGCGUUAAAUCGACCGCCUGGGGAGUACGGCCGCAAGGUUAAAACUCAAAUGAAUUGACGGGGGCCCGCACAAGCGGUGGAGCAUGUGGUUUAAUUCGAUGCAACGCGAAGAACCUUACCUACUCUUGACAUCCAGCGAAUCCUGUAGAGAUACGGGAGUGCCUUCGGGAACGCUGAGACAGGUGCUGCAUGGCUGUCGUCAGCUCGUGUUGUGAAAUGUUGGGUUAAGUCCCGCAACGAGCGCAACCC